AGAGUUUGAUCCUGGCUCAGAUUGAACGCUGGCGGCAGGCCUAACACAUGCAAGUCGAGCGGCAGCGGGAAAGUAGCUUGCUACUUUUGCCGGCGAGCGGCGGACGGGUGAGUAAUGCCUGGGGAUCUGCCCAGUCGAGGGGGAUAACAGUUGGAAACGACUGCUAAUACCGCAUACGCCCUACGGGGGAAAGGAGGGGACCUUCGGGCCUUUCGCGAUUGGAUGAACCCAGGUGGGAUUAGCUAGUUGGUGGGGUAAUGGCUCACCAAGGCGACGAUCCCUAGCUGGUCUGAGAGGAUGAUCAGCCACACUGGAACUGAGACACGGUCCAGACUCCUACGGGAGGCAGCAGUGGGGAAUAUUGCACAAUGGGGGAAACCCUGAUGCAGCCAUGCCGCGUGUGUGAAGAAAGCCUUCGGGUUGUAAAGCACUUUCAGCGAGGAGGAAAGGUUGGCGCCUAAUACGUGUCAACUGUGACGUUACUCGCAGAAGAAGCACCGGCUAACUCCGUGCCAGCAGCCGCGGUAAUACGGGAGGGUGCAAGCGUUAAUCGGAAUUACUGGGCGUAAAGCGCACGCAGGCGGUUGGAUAAGUU
rnacentral:rRNA from 1 species